AGAAAAUGUGGCAAGAAUACACAGAAGAACUGUACAAAAAAAGCUUUUAAUGACCCAGAUAACCAUGAUGCUGUGGUCACUCUCCUAGAGCCAGACAUUCUGGAAUGCCAAGUCAAGUGGAACUUAGGAAGCAUUACUACGAACAAAGCUAGUGGAGGUGAUGGAAUUCCAGCUGAGCUAUUUCAAAUCCUAAAAGAUGACGCUGUUAAAGUACUGUACUCACUAUGCCAGCAAAUUUGAAAAACUCAGCAGUGGCCACAGGACUGGAAAAGGUCAUUAAAAUCAAUGGUCCGGCUCGAGUCUCUCUGCCUGGAUGAAGUGGAGAGACCAGGCCCUGGUGGUCUCAUCUCCAAGCUUUCAGAGCCUUGGAUGCUCCCUGUUCUCCUCUCCUGCUGCCUUGACCGACCAACCACCUAUGGAUCUCAGAGUUACCUCCUCAGGGUUACAACUCAUAAAAGCACAGCCCCAAAUUAGGAUGUCAUAUGGAAAAUACUAUGACAGAGGUCCACAAAUUUUGAAAUGUGGUUCCUGGCAAGCUGAGUAGAUUUGGAUUUAAACUGUUGAGCCCUCAAGCUCAAAUAUUUGACAGAUGCUCUAAGGCUUUACAAAGCACAAAAUAAAUGGUGUUUUUUGAG
ensembl:lncRNA